rnacentral:rRNA from 1 species
UUCCGGUUGAUCCCGCCGGACCUGACUGCUAUCGGAUUGAUACUAAGCCAUGCGAGUCAUUGUAGUAAUACAAGGCAGACGGCUCAGUAACGCGUAGUCAACCUACCCUAUGGACGAGGAUAAUCUCGGGAAACUGAGAAUAAUACUCGAUAGACCAUUAUGCCUGGAACGGUUUAUGGUUAAAAUGAUUCGUCGCCAUAGGAUGGGACUGCGGCCUAUCAGCUUGUUGGUGAGGUAAUGGCCCACCAAGGCGAUUACAGGUACGGGCUCUGAGAGGAGAAGCCCGGAGAUGGGUACUGAGACAAGGACCCAGGCCCUAUGGGGCGCAGCAGGCGAGAAAACUUUGCAAUGUGCGAAAGCACGACAAGGUUAGUCCGAGUGAUUUCUGCUAAAGAAAUCUUUUGCAAGUCAUAAAACCACUAGUGAAUAAGGGGUGGGCAAGUUCUGGUGUCAGCCGCCGCGGUAAAACCAGCACCUCAAGUGGUCAGGAUGAUUAUUGGGCCUAAAGCAUCCGUAGCCGGCUCUGUUAGUUUUCGGUUAAAUCUAUGUGCUCAACGCAUGGGCUGCCGAAAAUACUGCAGGGCUAGGGAGUGGGAGAGGUAGACGGUACUCGGUAGGAAGGGGUAAAAUCCUUUGAUCUAUCGAUGACCACCUGUGGCGAAGGCGGUCUACCAGAACACGUUCGACGGUGAGGGAUGAAAGCUGGGGGAGCAAACCGGAUUAGAUACCCGGGUAGUCCCAGCUGUAAACGAUGCAGACUCGAUGAUGCAUUGGCUUAUUGCCAAUGCAGUGUCGCAGGGAAGCCGUUAAGUCUGCCGCCUGGGAAGUACGUACGCAAGUAUGAAACUUAAAGGAAUUGGCGGGGGAGCACCACAAGGGGUGAAGCCUGCGGUUCAAUUGGAUUCAACGCCGGG